AGUGGCGAAAGGGAGAGUAACGCGUGGAUACUUACCUCGGGGUCUGGGAUAGCUGCGGGAAACUGCAGGUAAUACCGGAUAACGUUUCCGAACCAAAGGUGUGAUUCCGCCCUGGGAUAGGUCCGCGUCCUACUAGCUUGUUGGUGAGGUAACGGCUCACCAAGGCGACGAUGGGUAGCGGGUGUGAGAGCAUGGCCCGUCUCACUGGGACUGAGACACUGCCCAGACACCUACGGGUGGCUGCAGUCGAGAAUCUUCCGCAAUGGACGCAAGUCUGACGGAGCGACGCCGCGUGCGGGAUGAAGGCCCUCGGGUUGUAAACCGCUGUCAGUUGGGAGGAAAUGCCAUAGGGCACUCUCUAUGGUUUGACCAAUCUUCAGAGGAAGUCCGGGCUAAGUUCGUGCCAGCAGCCGCGGUAAGACGAACCGGACGAACGU
rnacentral:rRNA from 1 species